rnacentral:rRNA from 1 species
AUUGAACGCUGGCGGCAUGCCUUACACAUGCAAGUCGAGCGGGGUGAUGGUGCUUGCACUAUCACUUAGCGGCGGACGGGUGAGUAAUGCUUAGGAAUCUGCCUAUUAGUGGGGGACAACAUCUCGAAAGGGAUGCUAAUACCGCAUACGUCCUACGGGAGAAAGCAGGGGAUCACUUGUGACCUUGCGCUAAUAGAUGAGCCUAAGUCGGAUUAGCUAGUUGGUGGGGUAAAGGCCUACCAAGGCGACGAUCUGUAGCGGGUCUGAGAGGACGAUCCGCCACACUGGGACUGAGACACGGCCCAGACUCCUACGGGAGGCAGCAGUGGGGAAUAUUGGACAAUGGGGGGAACCCUGAUCCAGCCAUGCCGCGUGUGUGAAGAAGGCCUUAUGGUUGUAAAGCACUUUAAGCGAGGAGGAGGCUCUUUUGGUUAAUACCCAAGAUGAGUGGACGUUACUCGCAGAAUAAGCACCGGCUAACUCUGAGCCAGCCGCCGCAGUAA